rnacentral:tRNA from 1 species
CCGGUGGUUUAGUGGUAGAAUUCGACGUUGCCAUCGUCGAGACCCGGGUUCAAUUCCCGGCCG